CAAGUACUCCCUCCGUCCGGAAUUACUUGUCAUCAAAAUGGAUGUGUCUAGAACUAAAAUAUAUCUAGAUACAUCCAUUUCAAUGACAAGUAUUUUUCGGACGGAGGGAGUACAAG
rnacentral:pre_miRNA from 1 species